rnacentral:rRNA from 1 species
UGUAGUAAAAGGCGGCAGCUCAACUGUCGUAGGCUAUGGAAACUGUCGAACUAGAGUGCAGAAGAGGGCGAUGGAACUCCAUGUGUAGCGGUAAAAUGCGUAGAUAUAUGGAAGAACACCAGUGGCGAAGGCGGUCGCCUGGUCUGUAACUGACGCUGAAGCACGAAAGCGUGGGGAGCAAAUAGGAUUAGAUACCCUAGUAGUCCACGCCGUAAACGAUGAGAACUAAGUGUUGGGGGAAUAACUCAGUGCUGCAGUUAACGCAAUAAGUUCUCCGCCUGGGGAGUAUGCACGCAAGUGUGAAACUCAAAGGAAUUGACGGGGGCCCGCACAAGCGGUGGAGUAUGUGGUUUAAUUCGAAGCAACGCGAAGAACCUUACCAGGCCUUGACAUCCCCGGCGAAGACAUGGAGACAUGUUGGAGGUUAACCGGGAGACAGGUGGUGCAUGGUUGUCGUCAGCUCGUGUCGUGAGAUGUUGGGUUAAGUCCCGCAACGAGCGCAACCCUUGUGAUAUGUUACUAACAGUAAGAUGAGGACUCAUAUCAGACUGCCGGUGACAAACCGGAGGAAGGUGGGGAUGACGUCAAAUCAUCAUGCCCCUUAUGGCCUGGGCUACACACGUACUACAAUGGCGGCUACAAAGAGCGGCGAACCCGCGAGGGGGAGCGAAUCUCAUAAAGGUCGUCUCAGUUCGGAUUGAAGUCUGCAACCCGACUUCAUGAAGUUGGAAUCGCUAGUAAUCGCGAAUCAGCAUGUCGCGGUGAAUACGUUCUCGGGCCUUGUACACACCGCCCGUCAAACCAUGGGAGUUGGUAAUACCCGAAGCCGGUGGCAUAACCGCAAGGAGUGAACCGUCGAAGGUAGGAUCGAUGACUGGGGUUAAGUCGUAACAAGGUAACC